UACGUAGGGUGCAAGCGUUAUCCGGAAUUAUUGGGCGUAAAGAGCUCGUAGGCGGUUUGUCGCGUCUGCUGUGAAAACCCGAGGCUCAACCUCGGGCCUGCAGUGGGUACGGGCAGACUAGAGUGCGGUAGGGGAGAUUGGAAUUCCUGGUGUAGCGGUGGAAUGCGUAGAUAUCUGGAGGAACACCGGUGGCGAAGGCGGCAUCCCUGGACCAACACUGACGCUGAGGAG
rnacentral:rRNA from 1 species